UACAGAGGGGGCAAGCGUUGUUCGGAAUUACUGGGCGUAAAGGGCGCGUAGGCGGCCUUCUAAGUCGAACGUGAAAUCCCUGGGCUCAACCCAGGAACUGCGUCUGAUACUGGAAGGCUUGAAUCCGGGAGAGGGAUGCGGAAUUCCAGGUGUAGCGGUGAAAUGCGUAGAUAUCUGGAGGAACACCGGUGGCGAAGGCGGCAUCCUGGACCGGCAUUGACGCUGAGGCGCGAAAGCCAGGGGAGCAAACGGG
rnacentral:rRNA from 1 species